CAGAAAUAAUCUUGUUUUUAGGAUUUAUACUAGAGUCCUCAGAUGUAGAUCAAUAAAGAAAUUAACAUGGCACUUUAAGCACAAAUAUACGUGUAUUUUAGAAAGGAGUGGCAGUCCUUACCUCACGGAAGCUUGUUUUUUCUCUUUGUAGAUGGAUGUCACCAGUGGGUUGUGCUGGAACUUCACCAACAAGAUGAGGUCACUGAAGAAGGUUCUGCAAGCUUUUCAUAAGUGGAGUAAAAUCCUGAUGUUGAUAUUCUACUAUACUUGCAAAAUGAAAUAAUUGAUAAGGAAAGUAAGACUUUUGGGUGCUGUUGGAAAUAUAAUCCUCUUUAUUAACCUUGUAAUUCCAGUAGAGGUGAGAUUUGGGAUAGUGAUCUAAGGUGAAGAAUUUUAUAGUGAGUUUCUCAAGAGCUCUAGUUUAAUAAAUUUAUAGCCAUAUCUGUUAAUAGAGUCA
rnacentral:lncRNA from 13 species